rnacentral:rRNA from 1 species
AGAGUUUGAUCCUGGCUCAGGAUGAACGCUGGCGGCGUGCUUAACACAUGCAAGUCGAGCGAAGCACUUUUGCGGAUUUCUUCGGAUUGAAGCAACUGUGACUGAGCGGCGGACGGGUGAGUAACGCGUGGGUAACCUGCCUCAUACAGGGGGAUAACAGUUGGAAACGGCUGCUAAUACCGCAUAAGCGCACAGUACCGCAUGGUACCGUGUGAAAAACUCCGGUGGUAUGAGAUGGACCCGCGUCUGAUUAGCUAGUUGGUGGGGUAACGGCCUACCAAGGCGACGAUCAGUAGCCGACCUGAGAGGGUGACCGGCCACAUUGGGACUGAGACACGGCCCAAACUCCUACGGGAGGCAGCAGUGGGGAAUAUUGCACAAUGGGGGAAACCCUGAUGCAGCGACGCCGCGUGAGCGAUGAAGUAUUUCGGUAUGUAAAGCUCUAUCAGCAGGGAAGAAAAUGACGGUACCUGACUAAGAAGCCCCGGCUAACUACGUGCCAGCAGCCGCGGUAAUACGUAGGGGGCAAGCGUUAUCCGGAUUUACUGGGUGUAAAGGGAGCGUAGACGGCAUGGCAAGCCAGAUGUGAAAGCCCGGGGCUCAACCCCGGGACUGCAUUUGGAACUGUCAGGCUAGAGUGUCGGAGAGGAAAGCGGAAUUCCUAGUGUAGCGGUGAAAUGCGUAGAUAUUAGGAGGAACACCAGUGGCGAAGGCGGCUUACUGGACGGUAACUGACGUUGAGGCUCGAAAGCGUGGGGAGCAAACAGGAUUAGAUACCCUGGUAGUCCACGCC